ACCAGUGUGGUUUAGUGGUUUGGAUGUUGGACUAGAACCCUGAGAGACCAGCGUUCGAAUCUCUGCUUGGCC